GGUAGUGUGGCCGAGCGGUCUAAGGCGCUGGAUUUAGGCUCCAGUCUCUUCGGAGGUGUGGGUUCAAAUCCCACCACUGCCA
rnacentral:tRNA from 1 species